GUAAAAAAUUUCUGUAAAUUUACAGGGAAAUUCAACAGCAAAAUGCUGUUUUCGUGUAAUAACAGUAAGUUGCUGUUUUUUACAGUGCAUUGUGGGUAGACUCGCUCACUUCAGGUCUGUUGUCGAGCAACAACAGAAUGUUACUGUUAUUUAACAGUAUUAUAGCAUAUUUUUCGUUGUGCACGCCAUUUUGGAUUGUCUGCAUGAGGUAGGUCUGCAGCUUUAUCGAUGCUUGUGCUAUUUUUAAAUUACAUAUUACUUUUAAAUAUUGCAUUUUAUCCAGUGAAGCUUUUCAAAAAUAAAUCAGAUUUAAUUUCCUAUUUUAAUCAGGCAAAGCGGGUAUUCUACCAUCACAUCAGUUACACUCACAUCAGAUCACAGGAUUAUUUUGGUGCUUUGGUGCUAUUUUUGUCCUUAUUCCCUUCUCGUGCAUUGUGUAGACAAACAAAUAUUACAGAUAUUAUUAAGAUGUGUGCCACUCCUGCUGACUUUAAGAAGACUAGUAACUCACCUGUGACACCUUGUUUGAUCCUGUUUGCAUCUUUGGCUAUAUUCAUGGCGAGAACCGGUUAAUCCAUACAAGUUUUAUUCACACAAGUCAAUCCAGACACUGUUGGGGUAGAGACAAUUUGGCAUCUGUGGAUACCCAGAGUAAACCCACGCUGACACAGGGAGAACAUGCAAACUUCAAACAGAAAGACCACCUGACCUAGCCAGGGUUUGAAUCGGGGACCUUCUUGCUGUGCCUAUUACUAUCAGGAGAACAUCAAGCUUUAUGUGCCUCAUUCUGGAGGCCACAGUAUUUGAAACAUGUUUAAUGUGUGACAAACUGAGAACAUUUAAUAUCAGACUUUACACGGACACUAAAUUAAUUUGUGAUUUUCAGUUUACCUAAACAUUAGUGGCCCUCAAUUACUAUAAAUUUAAUUGUAUCAUGACAAUGGCCUCUGAAAAUAGCAUAAUGUUAGGUUUCUAUCUUGAAGGACAUGGCACUUUGUGUCUUUGCCAGUGCUUGCAUAUUCUUCUCACUGCCUUUUCUACACUUAGCUCUACAGAUAUUAAGGAUUAUACAUUAAUAUGUACAUUCAUUUGGUCCAGGUGAUACUCAGGGACAAUGGAUUAAACAAUGGAUGAUCAGCCUGAAAGCCAAAAGAAUCUGCAAGGGUGUUCAGCCAACAUGUCUCACUCGACUUGCUGAAUUGUUUUCUUUGUAUAACAUCUUCAACUUGCAAAAAGUGAGAGCAGCAUCCACACUGGAAGUCCUUUAAAGACGCUUCAUUAAAAUCAUACCGGGAACCAAGGCUGCAAAGGGAAAAGUGACCUCUAAAACAGGAAAACUGCAAAAGAAGACCAUCAACAGUCAGUCUCAAACUAUCAAAUCUUUUAAAAAGACUUAUGGACUUUGAGUGGUACUUCAUUUAAAAUGUAGCUGACACUUCCCACCAAUACAGUUUUUUUUUAAAAUAUGGUGGGCUGCAGUGAUGGCAGGUGACUUUUCUGAGGAGGGACGAAUGCAUAUCUAGCCAAAACAUUGUCAUGUGUGUGGUUCGUCAUUUCAAGAUGUGCGUUCGGCACGUCAUGUGAACCUGUGCAUCGCGUGUCAUGUCAAAAUAUGUGCCUGCUCCAGACACUUUGAAGGGGAUUAUGAUAAAGAGAUGCUCACUUUUGCCAUACUAGCUUAAUCUCAUGUGUAAUCAGAGUUUAGUGUUAAAUGAGUGUCUUGCGAGUAUCAUGUAAAUGUCUUUUUUAUUCUUUAUCAUAUUCAAAGC